rnacentral:rRNA from 1 species
CAGCCGCCGCGGUAAUACGUAGGGUGCAAGCGUUAAUCGGAAUUACUGGGCGUAAAGCGUGCGCAGGCGGUGAUGUAAGACAGUUGUGAAAUCCCCGGGCUCAACCUGGGAACUGCAUCUGUGACUGCAUUGCUGGAGUGCGGCAGAGGGGGAUGGAAUUCCGCGUGUAGCAGUGAAAUGCGUAGAUAUGCGGAGGAACACCGAUGGCGAAGGCAAUCCCCUGGGCCUGCACUGACGCUCAUGCACGAAAGCGUGGGGAGCAAACAGGAUUAGAUACCCCCGUAGUCCCUGUCUCUUAUAA